AGUUAGGGAGGGAGGGAGUGACUAGUGACAGAGAGAGGGAUGGGGUGACCUAUGUUGUUGUCACCCCCUCCCUCACUCUGUCACUAGUCACUACCUCCCUCUGUCAUUAG